UCUAGGGUUCAAAAUUACCGAGUCAUUAAGAAUCUUGUUGGGCUGAUCAACUAGAUGUCUAGAUCUAGACUCAAUGAAGGAACACAGACAAAGGUUCGGAAUGCGCCUCUGCACAAUGCACAAUGCACCAUCAUCACUAGGGUGGUGGCCAGAAAAUCUGGGCAGAAUGGGAGAGGAGUUAGAAGUAGGAAAGGGUGUAAUGUAGGCGAUGAUAUGGAUGAAAAGAAUAAUCGAAAAAAAGGAUGAAAGGAAGAAAAUAAAGGAGUAACUUCCCUGCUCACGAUUUCUCUGUUUGUAUAUCACCAACAGAGAUCAAAUCUAGCAUAAAAGUUAAUUCUAAUCCAAGAAUUAACCCUAAAAUGCAGAUUCGAGUUAUGAAAAAAAAGGAAGAAAAAAUGCAGAAUACCAAAGAGCAAAUGGGAGUUACAUGGAAUAUGGAAAUUAACUCUCAAAAACUGCUGCCUCUUUGUUGUCCCCUUUUAUUUAUACUCUAAUGGUGUGAGUGGAAAUGCCACCAUGAGAGUCCAAGCCCAUUUUAUUGGGCUUGGUCCAUGGGUCGAAUUAAUUCAAAACCACGGGAGAUGAUAUUAGUGAAUUAGUGAUAUACUGAUAUGUUAGAAUUAGUUCUAUUAAUCAUAAUAACUAUAUUCUUAACGUAGUUAAUUACUUCUAUGGGCUAAUUAGUAAUUUCAUUAGCAUUUGUAGUACAGAGUAUAACUAAUUUCUGUUAUACUAAAAUGUAUAUAUAUCCUACCCAAUGUUAAUGAAAAGGGAUCGAGUAUCUCUCCCACUUAUUUACAUCUCAAACUCUUAUAGAUGAGAGCUUGGUCUGCAUCAGGGUGCUAGAAGGUGAUUUGCAAUUCAGACAGAGUCUGGAUAGGAUCUAAGGGUGUAUAGACGCAAAAGCACGCAUAGUGCACACAUAGUGCACACAUCCCAAUCCUUGACACAAACAACCGACUAAAUUAGAGUUCGACACACAAUUGGUUAAAUUGCAAGCCGUUACCCUAAGCAUAGUUCAAAAAAGCGAAAAGCACUUCCACAUUUCAGGAAGAGCUUUUUCGUUUUGGGAGCUUUAGACACGCUUAAAACGCUAGGGGUAUUUUAGUAAUAUCUUGUAAAAUACAUAUAAUCCUAAAUAAAUACACAUAAAACCUAUAAAAAAUUAAAAAUACCUUAUAAAAGUAUAAAAUCACAUGUAAUAGAACAUUAAAGAUUUAAUUCAUACAACUAAAAUUAAAUCCAACUAAAAUCCUAUAGAAAAUUAAAAAUACCUUAUAAAAGUAUAAAAUCACAUGUAAUAAAACAUUAAAGAUUUAAUUCAUACAACUAAAAUUAAAUCCAACUAAAAUCUGAAAGUGGGGUAAGAGUUUUUAAUUUAAGUUAGAAUAGAGGGGUAGAAUAGGAAAAAAAGUAUAUUAGGUGAAAAUAUUAUUAAAUAAUAGGUGUAAUCGAGCUUAAGGAAAAGCGCUCCUCCAAGAGAGCUUUAGCGUGCUUUAAGUGCGCUUAAAGCGACGCUUUUAAAACUAUGACCCUAAGUAUAUCAAUUAGGCAAACUUUGUAGGCUGGUCAACCAAGCCCAAGACCCAUGCCCAAUUAAAGUUCUAAACCCUUUCCAUUCAAUCGAAAAAUAGAGGAAGGGAGGAAGAAAGGAGAGAAAAUUCACAUCACCAUCAUCAUCAAAAAAAGACAAACUCUAGGGAGACUUUAGCACAAUCAUUGUUGUACGACUCACCCAUUUUCCGUGACUCAAAAUAUUAGAUAAUGUAUAAAACUUUUGAAACAAAAAUAAAAAGGCUUUGGUAUAUUUUCCUACUAUUGCUUAUUAUAAUAUAUUUAAAAAUUGAGCACCAACCUGCGUAAAAGCAGAAGCGAUAAGAACAGGAAUAGUUGCCAAAGCAACAAGUGCCAAUCGCCAUUGCAAUAAACAUCCAAUAAGAAGUGCUGCAAUGACUGCAGCCGUAUCUUGGAUAAGUAUUGAAAGUCGGUUGCUAAAUGCAGCCCUAACAAAUGUUGCAUCAUUAGCCAAGCGCAUAGAUAACGUUUCUGCACAAUUUUCUUCAUCAUCAAACCAACCUACUUCAUUUCGCAACAUUGCUGUGAUUUUGUAUAAAAAGAAGUAAAUAAUCAAUUGCUGUAAUCUGAAAUUAUACCUAAGAACUUUAUUCAAACCAAAAUAACCAUUACGUAACUUACCUAAGAACAUCAUUCUUCUAACUCGUUCUGUCAUCUUUUCCCCCAUUAUUCCAAAAUAGAAGUGCUGCAAAAAAUUUGCAAGGACAGUAACAAUGCCCGUACAUGCAAUUAGCAGACACCAUCUAUUCACAUUUUGUUGCAUCACGCUAUCUAUUUUUGCGUAGUAUUCUACAACUACCAAUGAAAUAGUAAAUGCAAGUAUGGGAUUAAAAGAACCAAAAAUGGCAGCACCAGUGCUCCCAAGAAGAGCAUAAAGCCACUCAGCCAAAUUAAGCUCAAAGAGCCUCCAAAAAGAUGGUGAUUUGUGAUGCAGUAAGACGUCGGCGUAUUUGUGUUUGGUAGAUAAGUAGUCAUCAAGGUUUUCGGGAGGCCGGUUAAAAGUUCUUGAAUGGGACCGCUCAUUUUGAGGAUCAGAUGUCAAAAAUGGGGAGAUAGGUGAUUCAGGACCAGGAUCAUUUGAAGAGGAUUGAGAACCAUUGCGAACCUCAAUUUUAAGAAGCCCAGGCAAUCCCUUUUCAAGACUAUGCUGUCUUUUUAUGCAUGGUGGUAUGCUUUCUGUUGUAUGUAAAGACAUACCAUUUUCCAUCAACUGCUCAGAAGGAGUAGACUGUAUUUGUGAUUCUUGGGAGUUUAGAUUAGAAUCUGCUGGAUGGUGAUCAUGAAAACCAUGGCCUCUGCGGAGGGAAGAAGAUUUAAUCAUCUUAGGCGAUGAAGGAUCCUGUCUAUUCUGGCAAUCUUUUUCAAUUUGGAAUGGGAUAACACCAGCAUAAUUUCUCAUAGGUGUCCUGGAACAUGAUGCAGUAAAUACAGAUAUAAUUUCAAUUGUAUAUAAACAAAACAUUAAAAAAUAAUUUACAAUUUUUCUCAUUCAGAUAAUUUGCGAUAUAUAACACUUGUAUAAUUUUCUACAAUAAUAAAAGUGUGGAAAUUAAACUGAAUAAACACAAAAGAUGAUUAAAAAGGUGUAAAAAUUUAAUACUCAAGUUGAGGUCUCCUGCUAAGGAUAGUGACUGGAUAACAAAAUAAAUCAUAUUUUAAAGAAACCUAAAACCAAGCAGUUCCAAAGUGGAAAAUACUUCGUUAAAGCACCUAGAACAACAUUCUAACCGACUUCCGGCGUUGCUCAUUGGAAGCUUGACCUCUGACCAUAUUGCAGAAGAAGGCUGUGAUCCUGCUGGUGAUAGCAGUUCAAUAGAAGUUUUCUGGGUAGUUAGUGAGAGAGGUUAGCCGGAGUGUCCCCCCUUCUCUUCUUGAUCAACCCCAGCAUGCAUGAUCUUUCCAUACAAUAAGGAAGACUAAAGAGACGAAGCAGAGAGCUAUUGGAAUUGUCAUUCCAGUAUUCGACAGCUACAUUGUUAUGUAGGCAAUGGCCAGAAAAGGAUCGAUCUCAGCUGAUCAGGAACAAUCCCUGAUCAAUGACGGAAGUGCUGGUUCUUCUUGAUUGGAAUCCACCAAUAGAGAAGAUCGGAUCUAGAUCUGUGAAUAGAAGAAUCGAGAAGAAUGUAGAAUAGUGAUAGUAGAACUCAGAGAAUUAGAGGAAAAAGCAAGGUUUAAAAACCGAUUAACCAGUAACCGGUACUAACUGACCGGUUAUUCGGUUAGAUCGGUUAACCGGUAGGGGUAUUUUAGUAUAAAAAAAUUGAACAUAAAAUCCUUGUUAUAUAUCAGUUUAUAAAUAAAUCCAUGUUAAUUUUCCAUAGUUAUAUAUUAAUCUAUACAAAUUUCCCUGUUUAAAAUAGUAAUAGAAAUUUAAAAUAGAAAUAGAAAUUCAAAAAAGCAAUAGAAAUGUAACAUGAGAACUCAAACAUAAUAGCAAUCAAUGUAAUAGUUUUAUAAAAAACAAAUGAAGGGAUGAAAGGACGAAAUUACCCUUAAAAUUUUGUAAAAUUUUCGAGUAUUCAGGUUGGUUCCAUAGUUUUAAAAGCGGCGCUUAAAGCGCCGCUUAAAGCUAUAAAAGCUGAAAAGCGGUUUUCUAGGACCGCUUUUUAGAUCGCUUUUUUAGCGGGUUCGCGGGUCGGGUCGGGUUGGGCCAACCCAUUACCCGAAAUGGAAGAACUUAAAUUCUUUCAUUUCCCUUUCUACUCUUCUAACAAACCCUAACCCUCACUUUCACUCACACUUCUUACCCAAACCCUAGACCUCGCCUAGAUAAUAUAAAAUUAGGUGCUCGUCUAGAUGAUUAGGGUAAAUGAUUUGAUAGUUUUUUUCAAAUAACUUGGAUGUAUUUGUUUUGGAUGUGUAUUUUUAAGAUGAUGGGCAAAUAUUGACAGGUUUAUAUAUAUUUUAUGUUUAAUCAUACAUCAUACAUGUACAGGUUUUGAAAAAAUUAUAUAUAUAAACAGGGGUAUAUAUGCAAUUUUAAAAAAAAUUGUAAAUAUUUACAAUUAUGCCACUACCGCUUUUUUCGCUUUAAGCGCGCUAAAGCGGUUAAAGCUAAAAAAGCGCUCCCUGGAAAUUGGGAGCGCUUUCCGCUUUUUUGAACUAUGGUUGGUUCCGGUUCAAGCCCGGCCCAAUUACCCGCUGACCAACCAAAAACUAACCGGUUACCGGUUUUCUGUUUUCUACCGGUCAGCCGGUUAACCAGUGGUUUUUAAACCAUGGGAAAAAGUAAUACCUGGAUUAGCAUUGACAAAACCCUCUACCCUAAGUCGUUCUCCAAAUUCGGAUAAAUUUUCGAAUAUCCAGAAAAUCCAAAUUCAAAUAACUUUUUAUAGAAAAUCCUAGGAAACCCUAAAAUAAAAUUCCAUCUUUGAGUCUCGCGCGAGAUAGCGGGAGAUAUUUUCCAUAGUGCGAGUAGCUGGCGAUAUCUCCCCGCGAUAUGCCUAUCGGGUCAUAGGCGGAUCUGAGUCAGGAUCCGCCCGAAUACCCAAAUAGGGUUUAUAAAUAUAAACCCUAUAUCUCCCCAUUUUUCCUAUCUUCUCCCCAUUUCUCCCCUAACCAUAUUCUCCAGCGACCGUCCAACUAAACUCCGGCGACUCCAGCACACUCCGGCGAUCGUCCAGACCACUCCGGCAACCGGACAGUAUGGCUCUCCUCCUCUCCCCUCUUCUUCUUUGUUUCUCUCAUUUUUGAUUUAUUUGAAUCCAUUCUUGAUUUUCUCAUCUCCUACUCUUUUUUUGUAAACCCUAGAUGUUUCUUGAAACAGAUUUUUUAUUUUGUUGAAUCCAUUAUUCCAUUCAUGAUUUUCUCAUCUCUUCCUCCAUUCUUUUCUUAUUUUUUUGCAAACCCUAGAUGAUUACACUACUCUUUAAUGAUUACACUUGAUCACUAUUCUUUACUUAAGUAUGAUUUUUUUUUUUGCAAAUAUUAAAAGUUUUCAUUAAAAAUAAUGAAGGGCAAUGCCCUGAAAUACAAUUGAAUAGGAAAAUAAAAAUGCGGUGGGUUGAUAUUGUGAUUUCCACUAUAUCGACCUUCUCCUAUGUAGCUAUCCUUCCUAGUGUUCUAACUAAGAAUUUGGCCUCACGAGGGUUGUCUCCCAAACCUGCAUAAUAGUCUUUUCCAAUUGUGAACCACAUUCUUUCUUAAAGAUAUCCGCUUUAAAAGAUAUUUUGCAGUCCUUUACUAUAUCAGCUAGAACAACUUCUGGGGGUCUGAGCGGGUGCUGGUGGAGCCUCUGGCUUCGUUCGGACCAAAUGUGUCAUGUGAGGCUACCAAUAGCAUUCCAAUGUAGGCCCCAUGGAGGAGCCUGAUGCGUCAGUUUUUGACAUGAUUCUAAUACAUCUCCAAUUCUAAUAUCUGGAUGUGUGAGGGUCGGAAUAGGGGAGUUUGAUAUUUUCCAGAGGGCCUGAUUAAGAUGUUCAGAGAGUUGUAGAAGAAGUUUUCUAGUAUAAGGGCAAUUAAAGAAUAGAUGGUUGAUGGUCUCAAUUCCAUGACCACAGAGGAGGAAUGUUGGUUGUAUGGGGACACCCCAUGCGUCGAGCAUCUGUAGAGUUUUGAUUUGUUUAUUUUUAAUCCUCCACAACAUUACUAAGAAUUUUGUCGGCGUAUGAGACCAUAUGCCUUUGGCUAGAGGAUCCUUUGGGGCCUUGGUUCUUAAGGUUUCAAUGAUGAUUCCUAAGUUAUGUUUUCCAUUUCCAAUUUUCCAUAUUAGAGAAUUUCCGGCUCUGCAUUCCAAGCAUUGGUUGAUUUUCCCUUUGGAGUCUAAAAUUUCUUUCCAUUGGGCAAAGUCAAUGGAGUGUUUAGGGCUAAUGUUGUUAAGAGCCAUGCCGUUGGUGUAUCUUCUCUGCAUCCAUUGUGCAAAUAUAGAUUGCUUACCCCAUAUUGUAGCUGCUUUUUUAAUAGGGGCAGCAGAGGCUAUUAUUUGGAGGUUUCUAACCCCUAAUCCUCCCUCUUCCUUAGGUAGAAUCAUUAAUGACCAAGGUAUCCCUCUCCUUCCAUCCCAAAUGAACUGGUAGACCAGCCUUUGAACUUUUUUGUGGACAGAAGAAGGUAGGUUGAUGCCUUGGGCCCAAUAUAUGUAUUUUUCAGCUAGUAUCCAGUUUAAGUAAACUGUUUACUAGUUGGAUUCUACCUUCAUAGGAGAGGCAUUUACCGCUCCAUUUAGCUAGCAAGCCUUCUAUGGGUUGUAUUAGCUUCCAACAUUGGUUGUGUGAUUUCUUCUUCCCUGUUAUGAGGAGGCUUAGAUAAACUAUGGGGAGUUUAGAAACCGGGAAAUCAAGGAUCUGUUGGAGUUCUGUGGAGCUUUUACAUAUCUUGGAGAAAGUGAUAGAACUUUUUUGAGGGUUGAUCGUUAGACCUGUGAAUGUUGAGAAUGUCUCUAGUAUGCUUUUGACGACCUUUAAAGAUUUGGGAUUGGCUUUAGAGAAGAGAAGGAUAUCAUCUGCAUACAUUAAGUGAGUUACGGAUGUCGCUCCAUUGACUAUAUAUGAGUCAUAUUUUCUUUCUAUUACCUCCUUUUCAAUUAGUCUACUUAGUAUAUCCAUCACCAUGUCAAAGAGAAUGCGGGAGAGAGGGUCUCCUUGUCUAAUGCCUCUUUGACUCUUGAAUGGAGGGGUGGGGGUGCCUUCAACUAAUACUGAGAAGGAAGCUGAGGAGAUACAAUUCCAGAUAAUCUUACAGAAUAGGUUGGAGAAGCCAUACGCUUGUAAUGUGGCAAUCAGGGCCUCCCAUCUCACCGUGUCAAAAGCUUUCCUUAAGUCAAUGCUGAUACAACAUCUCUUGGGGGUUCUUUUCCUGCAGAACCCAUAGAGCAUCUCAUCAGCCAACAUGAUGUUGUCAGAGAUGUUUCUUCCUUUUAUAAAAGCAGCUUGGUUGGGUGAUAUCAGUUCACUUGAGACCUUUGAUAUUCUAUCAGCCAUAGUUCAGGAUGCGCGCGCAUAAGCGCGGAUGCACCUUGGAAGGGAGAAGCGCCAGGCGCAUCUCAGCAUGCGAAUUUUUUAUUUUUUAAUUUAUUUUUUAUUCUGUUUCAUCUUCCUUCAUCUCAUUUGAGACAUCUCAUUUCAGAGAUUAGGGUUGUGUUUUUUUUAAUUAAUUUGUUAUUUUUUAGGGUUUUCGAAAUGGCUGAAUUUAAUGAAAACAAUGAGGGUGAACCCUAACCUGAACCUAUAGAUGUAAAUCAUUUGUUUUAUAAACGGCUAAAGAAGACACAGGAUCAUCUAUAGAUCGUAUUAUGUAUUUCAAGUUUGAACUAGUCUAUGUGUUUUGAACUACUUUAACUAUUUUGAUAUAUUUUAUAAAGUAGAUAUAUUUUAGGUAUAUGAAAAAUAUAUGAAAAACCUUUAUUUUUAUAUAUAUUUACGAAAAUGCCACUGGCGCAAAGGCGCGCAAAAGCUCAAGUGCUCCAGGUGGUUGCGCAUCGCGCAGAGGCGCAUCCCGAACCUUGCUAUCAGGCUAUCAGCUAGUAUUUUGGUGAGAAGCUUGUACAUGAAGUUUACACAAGAUAUGGGUUUGAAAUCCCCCAACUCAGAGACAGUUGGGAUUUUGGGGAUUAGGGUAAUGAAGGUGUGAUUGGUUGCUUUCAACAGUGGUUUUCCUUUAAAAAAUUGUUUUACACACUGUAGCACAGUUGCUUUGGUUUCAGGCCAAAGUUUUUUAAAGAACUCUGAGGUGAAGCCAUCAGGGCCCGGGGAUUUUCCUGAUUGGAAGGAAAAAAGAGUAGCCCUAACCUCUUUUUCAGAGGGAAUUUGGGUGAGCCAAGUAUUCAUUAAAGGCGAGACCAGUUUUGGGAAGAUCAUUGGGAAGGUAGGUAGGGGGUUAGUGUGUGAACUGAACAGGUUUUUAAAAUAGUCCAUACUAUUAGACUCUAGCUGGGAUCUAGUUAAGUUCCUGGACCCAUCCCUGUUCAAAACUUUCAAUGUGGAGUUUUUGGCUCUUCUGAUCUUGGAAGCUAUGCUAAAAAACCUUGUGUUUGAGUCACCUAAAUUUAGCCAUUGAGUUUUACUCCUCUGUUUGAUAUCAGCUUCUUUUUCAAGCAAUGUUCUUAGGUCCUUCCUUUUCCUAAUGAAGUCUGUUUGCAUUGGUAGAGAUGUUGGUGAGGAUUCUAAAGAUUGCAUAGCCUUUUCCAGUUCUUCUUUUGCAGUUAAGAGUUGCUUUUGGAAGCCACCCUUUCCUACAAGCCAUUGUUUGGUCAAUUCUUUGACCCUCUUAAGUUUAACUUGCAUUUUAUAAAGUCCAGUGCCUUGAACUUCAGAACUCAGACCUUCUCUGGCUAGUUUUAGAUAGUCUGGGUCUUCUAGCCAAGACUUAAAUAGUCGCAAAGGAGGGUUUCCUUUUUCCACCUGGGAAAAGGUGAUUAUCAUCCCUUUAUUGUCACUGGUGCCAUUGAAGAAUUCCAAUCUAGCAUCAGGCCAGCAGUCUAUCCAUGAUUGAUUGGUAAAGGCCCUAUCCAGCUUGGAUUGUAUGAAAUCUUCACCAGUUGAGUUGUUGGUCCAGGUGAAUUCUCCACCUAUUGAUGCGAUCUCUAGGAGUUGAGCUUGGUUUGUGGCCUUUAUGAACUCUGAGGGUCCUCCAUGAUUGUUAGUGCCCUUGCUUCUCCUUUCCUCAGGGGAUCUGAUUUCAUUGAAAUCUCCUAAGGCUAUCCAUGGGAGGACUGUGAGAGGGUUACCUAGACAUUGAAGUUCCGACCAGAGGGGCUUUCUAUCCUCCCUCUGAUUUUUCCCGUAGAUGGUUAUAAUCAUCAACUUAUAUCCACCUGAGUUUGUAAGGUUGGAAUGGAUGAGUUGUGAGUGGAUAAUUGAGCUUUCAUUUUUCCAUAACCCUUUCCUCCAAAAUACCCAGAUAGAACUUAGGUCAGGGUGGUUCUCAGCCUCGUUAUUUAAGGAUUCCCAAGUAUCACCAAAAAAAUCCCUAAUGCUUUGAGCAUUUUGGGGUUUGAUUUUGGUUUCCAACAAAGCAAAAAAAUCUAUUGAGUUUUUUAAGACAAUCUCCCUGAUCUCCAGUUGAAUGGCAGGGGAAUUGAGCCCCCUAACAUUCUAGCACAGGAAAGCCAUGGGGGAGGGGCUUCCCUGGGGGGGGGCUAGUGUUUAAACUUGGUUGGGUGUGGGGGAUCCCGCACCUGUGUCUGAAUUAACAGACAAUUGCUUGCUUUGUUGUUUUCUUCUGGCUAUUCUUUGAGAUUUAUUUCUUGAUUUCUUAGCCUUAUUAAUGAUCAGAGAUUUAACCCAAGAUAGAUUGGAUAUGGUCCUAAGAGGCAAGGUUCAGGAUGCGCCUCUGCGCAAUGCGCCACCACCUGAAGCACUUGAGCUUUUACGCGCAAAAGCGCGCCUUUGCGCCAGUGACAUUUUCGUAAAUAUAUAUAAAAAUAAAGGUUUUUCAUAUAUUUUUUAUAUACCUAAAAUAUAUCAAAAUAGUUAAAGUAGUUCAAAACACAUAGACUAAUUCAAACUUGAAAUACAUAAUACGAUCUAUAGGUGAUCAUGUGUCUUCUUUAGCCGUUUAUAGAACAAAUGAUUUACAUCUAUAGGUUCAGGUUGGGAUUCAUCCUCAUUGUUUUCAUUAAAUUCAGCCAUUUCGAAAACCCUAAAAAAAUAACAAAUUAAUUAAAAAAACACAACCCUAAUCUCUGAAAUGAGAUGUCUGAACUCUGAAAUGAGAUGGAGAAAAAGAUGAAGGAAGAUAAAAAAAAUUAAAUUUUUUUUUUUUUAAAUCGCAUGCUAAGGGAAAUGCGCCUAGCGCUUCUCUCUUCCAAGGCGCAUCCGGAACUAUGCUAAGGGGUAAUGGGGGGAGGUGUUUCCUAGAGAGUCCACCAUCAUUGCCCAGUUUUUCCUUUGGGGGUUUCCUUGAGUAUUUUCUUAUAGAGUGUGGUUGAUGUGAUUAUGUUUGGAGGAAUAUAAUUCGAGGUAGACCCGUUGUUGAAAUUGUUUGGUGAAGUUGGACAAUUUUGAUAGAUAUGUGUGUUGACUGGUGGGGUGUGAAUUACUUUGGAGGGGUUCAGGUUAUACGGGCUAAAUGUGUUUGUGGAUGUAACAGAGAUAUUUAGUCUAAUAAGGUUUGACAUAAUUUGUCCGUUGGGGUUUGCGUUAUUAUUCAUUAGCUCUGUGGCCAUUUGUUCUGAGUUUAUACUUUCCACUUCAACAUCCUCCCAGCUCCCCGUAGAGUCUUUGUCUGACUUCUGGGUCGCCUCUGCUAUGCUUCUAGGACUGUGUUCCAUAUCUGAGUCCCCGACCAUAUUAGAUAGGAGAUUCCACAUGUUUUUGCAUUUUAAAGGGCAAAUUCUGUUGGGAGGGAUAGUUGUAAUGUGGACUGGAAUUUCCACUAGUUCAUUACCUUGUUCAGUUUUGUCAUUUUUCCCCUCAUAGAAAGUAUUUACGUCCUCAGAUAAGACAUUUACCGAUUUGUCCUCAUCUGAUAAAUUCUUUUCCUCCUCUGAAAGAUUAUUUUUAUUCACGGAAUUAUCUUCCUCUGAUAAAGACUUGCCAUCCUCUGAUAAGGAUCCUUUUUCCAGCAUUUCCUUGGGUAAAUCCUUGUCUGGUGCGUAUAUAAUUCUUAGGAAAUCCUGGAAUUUUUGUGGAUGUUCCCGUGCCAGUUUAGUGGGGUGCUCAAACUGCACCAGGGUAGGAGAUGCCUGCUCCAGAACCUAUGAUGGCUGCUCUACUAUGUUCUCUAGCGCAUCUAUGUUGAUCAUCUGUCUGUUUUCUUUAGGGAUUUCUGUGGUGGGCUGGUUGAGGGUGCAUCUAACUGUCCAAUGUCCGAACCUAUUGCAUCUCCUACAAUGAGGUGGUCUGGAAGAAUAAGAGAGGCGGAGAGAGCCUUUGUGAUUGCCAAUUUGCCAUUGCUGGAUUCUGAUAUGUAUUGUAGCGCGGUGGGAUAGUUAAAGUUUCCAUCCGCCUGAAUGCAGGCCCUCAGGCAACUCGGAUGGGUACAGGUGUCAAUGAAUUCAGCAUGUAGAGGCGUACCCAAUACACUAAUUAAUGAAUUGACUGCAUCUUUGGCGUACAUUCCUGGGGUCAUGUCAUGCACAUAUACCCAUUGUGGAGCCCAAUCAUAGGCCUCCUUAUGAAUAGUAUCGGGGGCUUCUUUGCUUAUCAUAACUGGGGCAUCCCACAUCAUCUCCCACUUCCUAUCACAACAACAACACUUUAGGUAGUCUGAAAUUCUUUUAAAAGCAAUUGUGAACGUAUGAUCCCUAUAUCUUGCAAUGUGGAACUGAUCGGAUAAAUCUCAUUUGUUCUUUGGCCAUGCAAGCUAUAGCUCUCAAGCUAGGCGGGCCUCCUAGAAUCCUUAAAGUGAGAGUCAAUUUAUCCCAAGGCCUGGAAUGUCGAUCAUAUCAUGCUUGAGGAGUGCGUAAUUGGAUCCCUCUCUGCAAAUUGGUGGGAUAUAUUGUAGCCUUCUAAGGUCUCCAAUAUCAUGGGUUGUGGGUAGCCACUUAUUGAUGAAGCCAUAGAAUGGAUGUAUUGGUUUACUGUUUCCUCUGAAUGGGGCGUUUCUUCUCUCUGUUCUAAGUGGUUGAACUACCUUGUGACUGAGGUUGUGAGGUUCCUUUCUUUGAGAUGGAAAUCUCUUGUAGUUCUCUUUGUGACUGUAAUACCAUCCAUGGUGACUGCUGCCGAAAAUUUCUUGUUGCCUUGAGGUGAAUCUUCUCCAAAACCUUGCUGCAUCCAUGUCUUGAAUUCACACUAAACUUGGGUGGGACUCACUUUUUUUUUUAAGCUACACAGAGAUUUUGGAUCUCUAGUUAAGAAGGAGCAUCAAAGAUUGGAUGCAAGAGGGACUUAUCAUAGUUACAAGAGGAGAUCUAAUCUCUUGGGUGAUGAAAAAACCUGGAUAGGCUUAAUAGCCUCUUAUCUUUCUUUUAGUGUGGUCUUUCCCAUCUUUCUCCAGGAAAAACCACCCAACAGAUCGGAUGAUUUUGUAACUACUGAUCAGUAUCUUGGGGCCAAGUGCAUGAUGCUUUUGGAAAAGAAAAAAAAUCGGGAAAAUCGGAAAAAAUCGGAAAUCGGGAAAAAAUCGGAAAAAACGGAAGAUUAGGGAUUCGUAAUACUCCCUGAACGUGCUCUCCUAGUCACAUAUCCCCUAAAUCGCGUGCUGAGCCUUCUAAACCAGAUCGCAAGAAACCUCCACGAGAAAGUCAUCCAUUCCACGCAAACAAGCCUUCCUAACGGAGAUUCCAGACAGAUGCAAUCCCUUCCAGACGGACGCCCUUCCAGACGGACGCCCUUCCAGACUGACGCACUCCCUCUCUCACGCGAGCAGUAACCCUAAUUUUCUCCAUGCUCUAUUAAUCAAUUCCAAUAUCUAGAUAUGUACUAAAGAUAGGAUUGUAAAUUGGAUUAGACUACCAAUUUAGUAACCCUAAUUUAGUUAAGUAUGAUAUUCAUUAUUACUUUAUAAUAUAGUGAAUAUAUAAAAUAAAAAUACACUUGCCACUAUGUAGGCGAGAUAGCGCGCUAUCUCCCCAAGUGCCAGCGCUACGCGCUAUGGCGCAACUCAAACUUUGAUAAAAUUAUAAAAGUAUAAAAUCACCCUUAAUAAAGUUAAUUAAUAGUCAAUUAAUCAGCCUAAAAUCCUAAAUAAUAGUAUAAGUUAAUUAAGUUUUGAAAAGUAAGGUAAUUAUACAAUUAAGUUAAUUAAGUUUUUAAGAAUUGAAAAGGUAAAGUAAUUAUACAAUUAGGCUAAUUACGAUUAAUGUUGAUAAUAAUAUAGAUUAAUGCUAAUUACGAUUAAUGUUGAUAAAGAGGCCCACUACCAAACAUGGUUUUAUUCAUUCUCCAUUGGUGGAGAUCUCCAAAACUUGCAACCCAACAACAGGUGGAAACCCAAAAGUGGAAACCCAAACAAGAAACUUGCAAGAAUAGGUGAGGAUAUUAGAAACAAAAACCAUAAAGACACUCUAGCCGAAGGAAUCUGGGCCAACAAACCCACAAAAUUCUCUAUACUUCUAUGGAGAAUAAAAUGGGGACACCUAAAUACCUUUACCAGGCUAAAUGGAUGGGGCAUGCCCAUCCCACCCACUUGCCUACUAUGCAACUUAGAAAAUGAAACCAGAGGACACCUUUUCUUCAACUACAGCUACUCUAGAGCCAUCCUUCUACCCCUAGUUGAAAAAUUAAACAAUAUCAUCUGAAAAAUCAUGAACAUCCCCACACCCACCACCACAUACCCAAACAUCAAAAUAGAAAACCUAAUUGAGGCAUGUCAAAAGCUAACACAUCACUCUCAAAUUUAGGGCCUAUUAUGGAAUAUGAUUGGAGCCUUGAGUUGGCACAUACAUGGUUCAGGAUGCGCGCGCAUAUGCGACCUCCCAGGGAGAUGUUCAUGGCACAUACAUGGUCCCUUAGCCAGAUCCGGGUCGGAUCGAUCCGACCCGGUCCUGAAUUAAAAAAAAACCGGCGAAAAAAAAUUAUUUUAAGACAGAAAAAUUAUUUUAAGGCCAAAAUUUUAUACAUUGGUCCAUGAAAAGAACUAUAUUAUUUUUAAUAUAAACUCCUCCCACUCUUAAGACUUCAUAUUUGUUUUAAACAAAAUGAAUCUUUAUUUAUAGACUAAUCCUAUUUGUGUUUUUUGAAUUCUAUCGAUGUAGGACUGAAAACGUGUAGUUACAUCAAUUAUAAAGUAUUAUUUUUACUUUUUGAAUUCUAUCAAUGUGAGACUAAAUAAAGUGUACAUGUGUUAAAUAAAUUAUUGUUAUAGAGUAUUUUUUGUACUUUUUAAAUUCUAUCAUUAAAUAAACUGUGCAUGUGUUAAAUAAAUUAUAGUGUUAUAUGUACUUUUUAUAUCCUAUCAAUAUAGGACUAAAUAAAGUCUACAUGUGUUAAAUAAAUUAUAGUGUUACACUGAAUUAUAAGGUGUUAUAAUAAUUAAUAAAUAUAUGUAUUAUAAUAAUUUUUCUAUCCAAUAUAUUUUUAACUAAAAAAUUUAAUUGAUUAUUUUAUUGGCAUGCCUAUAUUUUAGGAUUGAUAUAUAAAAAAUAUAUGAAUUUCCUUUAGUUUUAUAUAUAUUUACGAAAAUACCACUGGCGCAUUUGCGCGCAUAUGCUCAAGUGCUCCAGGUGUUGGCGCAUUCGGAACCAUGGGCACAUAUGGGUUGAAACUUGAAAGAAACAGAAGAUGGCAGCAACAUUCUCUCAGACCACCAGAAAUUGUUCUUAAGGAGGUAUUGAAUGACACCAACAACUUCUUUAGGCCAGAGAGCUUCAAGAAAAGUUGUUGUCACCCUUUGGAACCUAGCACGAUACAGAUAUAGGAGACCAACCUCCGGAGGCAUAUAGCCUAGUUUCUAUACUAGGCAAUAUGGUUGUGUGGAAAGUGUCAAAAUGAGACUUGCUCUCAUUUUCAUAUUUAUAUCUAUAUUUUAUUGCUAGUUUUCAUUGUGUUAAAUGUAUGAAUCUAGACGAUAAUAGUGAAUUGCUCAAAUGAAAGCUAAUUUCAUUAGCAACCAUCCUAUAGAAUAUAUAGGAUGGGAAAAAGUAGAUCUCACCUACCCUUUAGUAGUGGACCACUAAAUAACAAACAAAGAGAAUAUUAGAAAGUAAAACUAACUAAUUACAGAAUAUCUAACUAACUAAAGCAAACAAAGUAAUUUCUAAUUAUUCUAACAUUCCCCCUCAAACUUGUGUAAUUGAGGACACAAGUUUGGGUUGCAAACUUAAGAAUAGUGCUGGUCUCAAGGGCAAGGUUUAAAAAUCGGUUAACCGGUAACCGGUUCUGGCUGACCGGUUUUCUAGUUAGGCCGGUUAACCGGUGGGAGUAUUUUCGUAAUUUUUUCUUCUUCAUAAAUUCACUAAGGCCAAAAAUAUAUUUUUAUGCCAAAAAUUUAUACAUUGCUCCAUGAAAAUAGCUAUAUUGUUUUUAAUAAAAGCUCAUCCCACUCUUAAAACUUCAUGUUUGUUUUAGACAAAAUGAAUCUUUAUUUAUAGACCAACAUUUUUUGUGUUUUUUAAAUUCUAUCGAUGUGGGACUAAAAAAGUGUAGUUAAAAAUAUUAUAAAAUAUUCUUUGUACUUUUUAUGAAUGUGAGAGGAGCUUUUAUUAAAAACAAAUAUGAAGUCUUGAAUUUUUUACCGGUCAGCCGGUUAACCGUCGGUUUUUAAACCUUGCUCAAGGGCUUUGUCAAAAUGUCAGCUAGCUGCUUGUCACCAGCAAUGUGAAGAACCUGCAAAGAUCCUUUCUGUGUUCUUUCUUUAAUAAAAUGGAAGUCCAGUGUUGUAUGCUUCAUUUUUGUAUGACACUGGAUUCUGUGCUAUGAAAGUGGUACUCAAAUUAUCACAGUAUACUUUCAUAGGUAAUGGAACUUCCACUCCCAAUUCUGUAAGAAGAGCUUUUACUGCCUCCAUGUGUUCAUCUGUGGUGCCAACUGCUCUAUAUUCUGCCUCUGUGGUGGAUCUAGAGACUGUAGUUUGCUUGUUUGAAGCCCAAGCAACCAAUGUUCCUCCUAUAAAAAUGAGAAACCCUGUCGGACUUUUUCUAUCACUUAUAUCCCCUGCCCAAUCAGCAUCUGAAUAACCUGUAAUAGAAAAAUCAGUGGUCUUCCUCAAAGAAAUCCCCAUUGCUUGUGUUCCAGAUAGAUAUCGUAAUAGCUUCUUUAGUGCCACUCAAUGAACUUGUGUAGGUGCUGCAAGAAACUGUGAUAACUUGUUUACGGCAAACUAGAUAUCAGGUCUGGUGAGUGUGAAAUAUUGGAGAUAUCCAAUGAUUCUCCUAUACUCACUGUGAUCAUUAAUAGGUUCAUCCUCAGCAAACAAAUCCCUCAAAUCUCCCAUGGGUGUAACCGAGGGUUUAACAUGUUCAAAUUUACAGCUUCUGAGUAAAUUGCACAAAUAGUGUUGCUGAGAAAGAUGCACUCCCUCAGCUAUAUUCUUCACCUGAAUUCCCAGAAAAUAAUUUAAAUCCCCAAGCUCUCUUAGAGUGAACUCUUUACUCAUUGAUUUAAUCACCUCAGCCACAUGAAACCUAUCUAAUCCAGUGAUGACAAUGUCAUCCACAUAAAUAAACAGAUAUAUUUUUCUGUUUCCUUGCACCAAAAUGAACAAGGAUGGGUCUGUUGAACAUUCUUUAAAAUCAAGAGAGACUAAGAAAUCCUUGAGCCUGCUGCACCACAUUCUUGGUGACUGUUUCAGUCUAUAUAAGGACUUCCUUAGAAGACAGACAUGAUCUGGAAGACUUUUAUUUACAAACUCGGCAGGUUGUGUGACUACAAUUCUCUCCUCUAAAUUACCAUGCAAAAAGGCAUUGGAUAUGUCUAUCUGCUUGAGCUCCCAAUCAUAAGAAAUAGCCAUUGUAAUAACAAUCCUUACUGAAUUUGCUUUGAUGACAGGGCUGAAAGUAUAAUUAUAAUCAGUCCCUUCAAUCUGUCUCAUUCCAUUAGCCACCAACCUGGCCUUAAACCUCUCCACUGUCCCAUCAUCCUUUGAUUUGACCUUAAAGAUCCAUUUUGUAUUAAUGAUGUUGUCACCAGUUAAUCUAGAGAUUAGGGACCAUGUAUGAUUAGCCAUUAGAGCAUCAUAUUCUUUUUGCAUUGCAAUUUUCCAAUCAGGAAUUAUCAUUGCAAUUUUAGGAGACUUUGGGAGUGGAAUCUUGUUGGCUUCAAUUGAUAAUCCAAACAUAGGAUUAAAUUUCCGAGGUUUUACUAUCCCAUCAGCUGCCCUGGUCCGUCUAGGACUUAUAUGUGCUUCACUGUCCCUGUCACCACUGUCUGGUGGUGUAGGAGAAGGAUUAUAAUCUGAUUGAUAUUGUUGAAGAGAAGGAACACGUGUGAUAUUAUCACCACUGUCAUCUGUUGAACAGGAGACAGGAGUAGAGAGAUGAGAUGAUUCUGGAAAUAUGUCACCUAAGUUGACAUCACAUGAUGAAGGAGAUGAUGUAAUAUAACAUCAUGAUUUCCAUCAGAUUCCUGAGAUUAGCCCUCCAAAUGCACAUCUGAUCCGUGAUGAUGAUAAAUUGGAGUAGCAUUGUUGCUUCCCAAUUCCAUUGUUGACUUUACUAACUCUGGACCGGGUUGAACUGAAAUUGAGCCUGAGUUAACCAAUUCUGGACCAGAAGAAAUAUCCUGCAAUUUAGAAAUAAAAUCAGGUUGCUGAUUUAUUGUUGAUGACCCAUCUGUGAGUUGUUUGUUGAGUGAAAAAUCACCCUCAACAAAACUCACAUCUCUGGAAAUAUAUAUCUUUGAAUCUACUGGAUCUAGACAGAUAUACCCAUCCUGAUUUCUUGGAUAUCCAAGGAAAAUACAAGGUUUUGACUUGGCAGAGAGCUUGUUUUCCCUAUAAUUUCUGAGACAUGGAUAACAUUUUGAUCCAAAUACUCUUAAUUGAUCAUAAUUAGGAAUUCUCUGAGAUAAUGCUUCCAAUGGUGAGAUUUCUCCAAGACUUUGUGAAGGAUUCAGAUUAUAUAGAUGUCCUGCUGUAGUCACAGCAUACGACCAGUAUUCAUCAGAUAUUGAUGCAAAAUCUAAUAAUGUGAUUGCAGAGUCAACAAUGUGUCUAUGUCUACGCUCAACUGUUCUCAUCUGUUGAUGGCUGUAUAGAACAGAGAAUCUAUGCUGAAUUCCCAUUUCUGCAAUGUGUUUGGAGAGCUGAAUUCCCAUUUUUUACCGGUGGUUAACCGGUGGUUAACCGGCUGACCGGUAAAAAAUCCAAAACCGGUAGUCGGUUAGUUGGAGCGGGUUUGUGGGUCUAUGGGUCGGGUCUGACCCGUACCCGGCCCAAAUAUCCGACCCAUUUUUUAAAACCAAAAACUUAUUUUAAGACCAAAAAUUUAUUUUAAGGCCAAAAAUAUAUUUUCAUACCAAAAAUUUAUACAUUGGUCCAUGAAAAGAGCUAUAUUAUUUUUAAUAAAAGCUCCUCUCACUCUUAAGACUUUAUAUUUGUUUUAGACAAAAUGAAUCUUUAUUUAUAGACCAACCUUAUUUGUGUUUUUUGAAUUCUAUCGAUGUGAGACUAAAAAUUUUGCCUGUCCAGAAUGAGUUAUUUCCAUACCUUCCCCAUUUGCAGUUCUCAUACAAUCAUAUCCUGUAUAUGGAUGUAAGGAAUGAAGAUUUUUACCUGAAUUUGUUACACUUGCAGUGGUUACAGUGUCAUGAAACCAUCUUGCAUUUCCACCUGUUCUCCCAGUAAUCAUAUUAGCAGAAUGACCAGAUCCACCUUUGUUCUCACCAUAAGGACCAUUAGGAGAUUGAGUUCUGUUGUGUUCAGGAGGAAACCUACUGAGGUUGAUCCUGUUAAAACAGUUCUUGGCACUGUGGGAUUUCUUUGAGCAGAUCUGACACCAUAUCUCCUUUGUAGCCAAUUUUGAGUUGUCUUUACUCUGUCGGUUAGAUCCAGAUGAUCUAGCAACAGCAUGGAUCUCAGGUACUGAAUUUGAUGCAGAAUCAUUUAUCAUACCCAUGUCAUGAUCAAUUACCAGUUGCUGAAAUGUCAGAAAUGUCAUGGUAUGAUCAAAUCUGGUGGUAAUUGAGGUUUUGAAAGCAUGAAACUCAUGUCCAAGACCACCAAGUGCAAUAAGUAUAAUCUGUGAAUCCUUUAUCUUCUCACCAGCAAAGGAUAAUUGAUCUCUCAUGAGAGUGAUCUUCUUUACAUAAUCUAUAACAGAUUGAUUACCUUUUUGAAUGGUCUGAAGAUUGUGCCUCAUAUGUAGAAGCCUUGUCUCAGAUCCGGAAGCAAAUGAGGAAUGGAUUGUGGACCAUACCUCAGCUGAAGUAUCGAGGGAAGCUACCUGUGGCAUUAUCGUGGGAGAUAAUGAGGUGUAAAUCCAACUCUUAACGAGUGAAUCCUGCUGUUUCUCAGGGGAAUCGGGUGCGAUGAUCACCUUCCCUUGAACAUACUUCAUUAGAUUGUAACCUUUCAGCAUGGUGGAGAAUUGCGCAUUCCAGCUGAAGAAGUUAGUCUCGUCGAGGACGAGACACUUUGGAGCCUUCAUCUUCAUCACCGUUACCGCCGCCGAUGGAGUGAUUGCAGCGGAGUUAGGAUCGACGGAGUCGUUGGACGUUGAAGCCGAUGAUACCAUAUUAAAUGUAUGAAUCUGGACGAUAAUAGUGAAUUGCUCAAAUGAAAGCUAAUUUCAUUAGCAACCAUCCUAUAGAAUAUAUAGGAUGGGAAAAAGUAGAUCUCACCUACCCUUUGGUAGUGGAGCACUAUAUAACAAACAAAGAGAAUAUUAGAAAGUAAAACUAACUAAUUACAGAAUAUCUAACUAACUAAAGCAAACAAAGUAAUUUCUAAUUAUUCUAACACAUUGUAUCAGGGCAACGCCCUUCAUUUUUAUAAAUAAAAAAUUUAACUGCUUCAAAAAAAAAGAUUCCAAUAGGGUAUGCUCGGAAUUUAAAAGAGUUAAUCACUCAUGUUUCAAUGAAUGCUACCGGCUCAGGAUCCGUUAUGAGUUAUGACCAAUGAAUAAGUGGGAAACUAUCGUGUCAUGGUCAAAGGUCACCAUGUAGUCGACGUUGUUGUCAGAUUUCAUUCUUUAUUGUGGUUAUCUCAUGUUAUACAAGGCAUUGAUUCCAUACCUUAACAACAUUCAUUGUGGUUCCUUAUUGCAUUAAAUAGCCUUUGAUAGUUCAUUGUGGUUCAUUCACUUCAUUGACAGUUGCAUUAAAUAGCCUUGUUGCAUCAAACUUCCACAAUUGCAGAUAAGCUUUUCUAUGUUCAUUUGUUUCUUCAAGGUCGUUUUUUUUAAAUAAUUUGGUAAAUUAUUUCCCAAGUUAAUUCGAGGUCGUAUUUUCAUUCUUCUGUUGUCAUUGAGAUUUGAGAAUCUAUUCUCAGUUCGUAUAGAAUUGACACAAACUACCCGAGGUAAUGCAACAAGAAAUGGGAAUGACUAGAUGAUAUGUUGGUGAUUUUCAUGCAAAGAUUCAUAUGAAAUUCUUUUAGGAUAUUCAACAAUGGGUCCUCCGUCCUCAACCCUAAUCUAAAUCUUUUCAUGCAUUGUAGUAACUAGUAACUAGUAAGUUCUCUAUAUAGCUACUCCAAGUUGAAUACUACCAAACAACUAGAUGGGUCCUUUGUGUGAUGAUAUUGGUUCGAACUGAUACCCCACUCCCCAGAUCAAUUCCCUUACUCGUCAAGUGGAUGGGACUAAGAUAGUUGUAAACAUUGAGGUCAUUUAUGUUGGAGUUAAUUGUAUUGAAAUUAAUUGCAAGGAGUUAUUUGCAAUUAUUUCAGUGAGCAAUUAAUUAAAUUAUAAGGGAAGCAUAAGUUAGAUGGAGAAUAUUCCUCAUGGGCUAAUAAUUCUUAUUGGGCCUAUUGGAUUGAUUAGUUAUCAAGGGCUAGGGCACACCUCCCUAGAUAACUAAUUAUAAAUAGCAUCAAAUUUUUCGCUUGUAAAUGUGCUGGAUAAUUUUCUACCGUCUGUAAGCACAGCUAAACCUCGUUAACAGAACGUUCUCUUUUGUUGUGUUCUUAUUUUUUCUUCCUCCACUUCUAUUUUUUCUGAUCUGAUUACACGUUUCAGAUCAGUACUUUUAAGGUCAAAAUUGAGAGGAUAGAGAGAGCCACCAUUCUCGUGUGAGGUAGAGAAAAUUUGAUCAGGAGAGAUCGGAUCUGUUCGUGGAUUGUAAAUCGACUUACAAUUUACAGUUCCAAAGCACCUAGAUGGAGUAGGUACUCAGCAUUUCAAAUUGUGUUCAUUUUGUCCACUGCAUGUCGAAAUGUAACUCAGACGAGACUGAGGUGGUACAAAUCAGAUCGAAAGGCUUGCCAAAAGAGAAGAGUUCAUUAUUGAAAGAAACCAUGGGAAAAAACAAAAUUUGAAUUUGAGACAAAAUGAAAACCAUACACUUCUGAUAGAACCAAGCUUUUAAAUGCGUGAUUGCACUACGUGGCAGGACUUAGUGGACUGCCACUUAGGCUCGCCUCUGGCACCAGGAGUAUUUUUGUAAAUAAUUAAAAAAAAAAACUUUCCUAUAUUUAUAUACAGUAAUACUUAAAUACUAAAUUUAGACAUCUCUGGCACCAGGGGAACUUAAUUUAGAUAUCCAUAGUUUUCAAUACUAAAUAAUAGAGCAUGGUACUAAUACAAAAUACUUAAAUAUAAAUACAAUGUUUAAACAUCCUUCAUGUACAAAAUAUUACAAAAUCAGAUUAUGUCCUCUUCUUGGCCUUUUUUAUUUAAAAGAUUUUAAUUUAAUUUAAAGGCUAGGGGUAAAAAUGAAAAUAGUUUAAGUUUUAAAAAAAUACUUAAAUACAUCUAAUCAGAUAAUCGGACGGAUCUUUACCCGACCCGAAAAGCCACCAUGGAAAAAGCGCUUAAAGCGCCUUUUAAGUCUUCUUUCUAAAUAAUUCUAUACAAUUGACUAAGAAUUAAUCUAUUUCACUCAAGCUUUUUUAUGCAUCCAUGCGAUCGUGCGAUGGCCCUGAUCGCAUGACCGCCUGGGGCGCCUAGGCGUCACAUAAAAUCAGGUGGGAAAAUAUAUAUAUAAUACCCUAAGUUUAUAAAAUACCCUAAUCAGGUGGGAAAAUCAGGUUAGAAAUACCUGAUUUAUAAAAUACCCUAAGUUUAUAAAAUAUAUAUAUAAUAUUUACUAAUAUUUAUAAUAAAUUUAUUAUAUAAUAUAUAUCAGGUGGGAAAGAAGGCAUCGGGAUUUCUAACCUGAUUUACAGAAGCUACUCCGCUGAAAGAUGAACAAGAAGAGGGCGGAGCUAGGGUUUUCCGAUUGUGACAAAGAAGGCAUUGGGAUGGCAAAUGGAUCUGGUCGAUGCUUGCGCCUAGAAGGGGAAGGGACUUCUGGAAAAUCGAGAAUCAUGUAUUUAUAUGUUAUUUUAUUAUUUUAGGGUUAGGGUAAAUGGGUUAAUGGAUUAGGCAGAUCCAACUGGAUCCGCCUAACCCGUCCAACGCAUGACGGCAAACACCUACAUGCGCUGGACCGCAUGGCCGCAUAUGCUAGGCGUCGCAUGAAAAAGCUUGAUUUCACUAACAAACAUUAAUAUAAGAAAAUGAUUGACAUUUUAAUAAGACUUAAGAAGUGGUGUAUAGAGGAGCACAUACCUUUUUGGAAGCUUCUCUGCUUCUUCACACCUGAUGAGUUCUGCAUAAAGACCCUCCGUUGAUAGUAAUUCGUCAUGAGUUCCCAUUUGAAUAAGUUUGCCUCCAUCCAUUACAGCUAUGUAAUCAGCAUUUCUUAUUAAAGAAAGACGGCGGGCUAUUAUUAUAGUUGAUCGUCCCAACAUAAGGAUAUCCAGAGCCUCCUGAACAGCCUUUUCUGCCUCAAAAUCUAGGCCACCAGUGACCUCGUCAAGAAGAAGUAUGGAAGGAUUUGAAAGCACUGCUCGAGCUACUGCAAGCUUUAUCUUCUGUUCUUCAUUCAGUGAAAUACCAGCUUUUCCCACCUGUAUAUGCAAAUAAUUUAUCAGUUAAAAAGAUAAAUAAUAUCAACCUUUGGCUUUCUACAUGGGCAUAUAAAGUUAUAAAUUACUCAAACCUUUGUAUCAUAUCCAUGUUCGAAAGAAGUAAUAAAUGAGUGAGCAUGUGCAGUUUUUGCUGCCUCUUCAAUCUGAUGAGGAGUAGCAGCUCGUCCAUAUGCAAUGUUAUCCCUGAUACUCAAACUUAAUAGAGCAGGUUCUUGGGUGACCAAUCCUAUUUGAUUCCUUAACCAUUCGAGUUUAAAAGUUUUAAUAUUCUCCCCAUCCAAAAGGACUUCCCCUGCAAAAUGAAAAUAUAAAAAAGAAUUGAAGGCAAUAAAUGUUUAUAAAAAACUGAAAUAUAAAGAAUCCAUAAAAAUUACCUAAGGUUGGGUCAUAGAAACGCUCCAUGAGAGGAAUAAUGCUGCUUUUUCCAGAACCAUUUCUGCCAACAAGUGCCACAGUUUUUCUAGCAGGCACAGAUAGAUAAAAGCCACUUAAAAUGGGAAUCUCUGGACGUGACAAAUAACUGAAAUAAACAUUCCGGAAAUCAAUGUUUCCUAUAACAGAAACUAAGGUGUUUCCCUCCUGAUUGACUGAAGAUGCCGAACGACUUAUCAUCUCAUAAAGUCUAAACGUAGCGAUUUUUCCUUGCUCAAAUGAAUAGAAAUUGGUGGCCGCUUGAUUUAACCCACUGCAUGUUAAAUUUGAAAUUACAAAAAGAAUGAUAGAAAUAAGAUAAUAUUACAUAAAACUUGAAAUAUAUGAUGUAGAAUUAUAUAAAAGAAAAGGCAACGGCGCUUACAGCCCACUUAAAAUUAUAGCAAAGAGAGCAAUUAUAAUUUCACCACCAUUGGCAUUUCCCUUUGAAACAAGGAAUCUUCCAACCCAUAGCUGCAAUGAACAAGAGCAUAUUGCAAGACCAUAUGUAAAUCCCAGUCCAAGACCUUGUACCAGACUAAUCAGAAUACCAUAUCUCAGAGUUUCUUGAAGUGAUGCAGCAUACGAAUACUUCGCUAGAGUUUCAUUUGAGAAAGCGUACACAGUUCUGAUGCAAGAUAUGGCCUGCAUUGUAAAUCACUCUGAGUUGGUUUUCAAAAUAAGUAGUGAAUACUAAAAAGUAAAAAUAUGAUUGUUUUCAUGUAGUUUGACUGUGCAUUAUUUAGUGUUUCAGAUGAUUUCUGCUCGCACGGUGCGUUUUACAUCUGAAAUUUCCGCACCAGCCAGAAUCAGGUUGAGGAGAGCAUCGCAAGGGACGAGGCACAUAGAUAUUGCUCCAAAUCUAAUGGAAGAUAGUAGUGACUAGUGACUAGAGAGGAAGAAGUUGUUCUUCUGUAGCAAGAUGGAAGAAAGGAGACUGACAAUCAAGAAAAAAAUCACAUCAGUAGUUGAAAACAAUAAUAAUGGCUUCAGUGCACCAUCUUAGAAGAAGCCCAUGUCAUGGGCUCACCUCACCCCGAAAAUCAUCUGGAAAAAAAACAGUCUAGAACAGGGUCAAAUAAGAUGUCAUGGGCGAACAUUUGUAGUAUAAACUAUAAACGGUGGAUAUAGCCUGCUAAAGAAGACCUGAUGUUGAGAGAAUACGAUUGCCGUAGCUGCAAUAAAAUGGCUGAUGAUAAUGAUAUCUCAGAGGAGAGAAUAGUGAGGGGGUCAAAGCCACAGUAGAAACAUUGAAACCCACUAGUGAAAGCCGGAAAGAAGAAAAAAAUAAGACCAACGGAAAGUUUUUUUUUUUAAGCAGUUAUGUUUCUCAUUAAUAAAAAUGGGCAUUGCCUUGCUCUGGAAAUACAAUGGAAUUCAGCAAAUAAAAUAAAAACAUGGUUAUGACCACUAAGCUCAUCCUGUGAUGUAGCACUACAUCUAUUUAAAAGAGAUGUCAAUGGGCUUGGACAAGCUUGGCUCGACCAGGCCCAAGCAUCUCAUGAUGUGAGUAUAAAAUGAGUGGACUUGGACGGCUGGAGGAUAUUAUUAUUUUUGAAUGAAUUUAAACAGAUACUUAGCUCUUGAUAUCCUCCUUGCUCUCUUGUCUUUUGAUAAUCCUUCUUAUUGUCUUGUCUCUUGCUCUUCUUUCUUCUUAUUUCUUCCAAUUGAUUGUAAACUGAUUUUCUUGGUGGAUUCCAAGAACAACAAAACAGAACACGAUUUCUGUUUUGAUCGUCUAUCUUUACUCAGAGUUACCAUCAUCCUGACACUUUCCAAUCAGCCAUAUUGCCUAAUAAGGAUUAGGUUGUUUGCCGUUGGUCUCCCAUAUAUGUAUUGUGCUGGUCUCCAAGGGAUGGCAGCAGCUCUUCUUGAAGUAUUCAGGCCUGAAGGAAAUGCUCAUGUCAUUGGUGACCUAUUUUAGAAUUGUUUAUGGCGGCUUUAGUGUGUUGUUUUCAUCUGCAGUUUUUUUCUGCCCAGAUAUGCCAACAUAAGGAUCCAAUCAUUUUCCUUAGUAGAUAAAAAAUAAUUUAAUGUCAAUAGUGGAAAAAUUGCAUGAGAGACUUCCUGCCCACUGAGAAGAUUGUCUUACAGAGGAGAGUAAGAUGAGCUUGUUUAUGACAAAAAUUAUCUUACAGAGAAGAGUCGAGCCAUCAAGGAGUAUAUCUCGUCGUCUUCUGAGGAGGAAUGGGAAAAUGAAUAUCAGUGCGGGAAAGGGAUGGACUAGAAUCACUACGGGAUGGCCAUCGCCAGCGAUAUCGACCGUAUCGGUGGGAAGUAAGAGCAAAGGAGGGAUAGAUGGGAACCUCGACGUUAAGUCACUAAGUUUGGGAGUAUCGCGUGAGAAUGAAAAUUCAACCUUUCAAUGGGCAAGUGAGCAGCGAAUAUUGAAGAAUUUUUAAACUAGCUAGCUGUCAGAGCUGGAAUGAUUUUUUGAGUGCAUGGAGAUUGUGAUGCAAACCAAGAUCUCAUCUCCCAUGGGUUCGAAUUAAUUCGACCCAUGGACCAAGCCCAAUAAAAUGGGAUUGGACUCUUAUGGUGGAAUUUCCACUCUCACACCAUGAGAGUAUAAAUAUGAGUGGACAACAAAGAAGCACCAGUUUUUGAGAGUUAAUUUCCUUAUUCCGGUAACACCCAUUUGCUCUUUGGUAUUCUGCAUUUUUCUUUCCUUUUUUAGUUAUUUCGAAUCUACAAUUUAGGGUUAAUUCUUGGAUUAGAAUUAACUUUUAUGCGAGUUUUGAUCUCUGCUGGUGAGAACAGAUAAAUCGGGAGCAGAAAGUUAUUUCUUUGUUUUCUUCCUUUCAUUCCCUUUUUUCCGAUUAUUCUCUUCACCCAUAUCAUCGCCUACAUUAGAUUGAGACAUAUCGCAAGAUCAGGUAGGUAGAAAUGAAGUUUAAAGACGUGAAUCAGACCGUCGCCAACUGAGCCAAGAAUCAAAAAGCGUGAAUAUACCACAGUCCACAACUGACAUUAAAGUUCUCAAUCAGUGCGUGAAUAUAUGCAAGAAUUCCAAAGAUAUCUUCAAGAAACAAAUAUAUACAUCAGAUGAUUAGAUAAUUUAACGAUAUGGGGGUGGACUGAAAUUAAGCAUUCUGGAUAAGAUGCAAUUACAUCAACACAGAGAUGAUACGAUUCCAGAUUAUUUUGCAAAAUAAGAGAGGGAGAUCAUAAGGUAGAAAUAUUGAAAUAAAAGUCUCUUAUUUGAUUGUAUUAAAUGCUUUUUUAAGGUCAAUGCUUAAACAAUAUCGCUUGAGGAUUCUCUUCCUCAACAAGUUUUUUCAUGCGACCAUGUGGUCAUGCGAUGGCCCUAGUCGCAUGACCGCAUGGGGCGCAUAAUGUCCUGGUCGACGAUCGCCGGAGUUGGCGUUCGAGGUUCGCCUUUGAUGAAACAGUUUGGUUGGAGGAAAUGAGCUCACUAGAUACUUUACUAUAUAUUUACCAUGUAAAUUUCAUUCAUCUUGUGCAAUUGUAUUUCAUAUGAAUCGGAAUAUUUAUCUUUUUGCAAAAAAAAAUGAAUUUUUUGUCAUAAUUUUUGGAAAAAUAUUAAAAACUUUUUUUAUAAAGUUAAAUACCAUUAAAAUGAGAAAUAAAAGCAAAAAUGUAAAAAACUUCAGGAUCAUUAACAUACGAGGAAAAUUUUGUAGAAAAGAAUAUAUUAUAAUUAAAAAAAAGAAACCUGCUCGGCGAUGUUAGCUGCUUCAGCAUAAGCAUCUUGAAUACUUUCAGCAAGCUUGUGUAGAAAUAUGUUUGAUAUUCCUCCUGCAGCAACUAUAAAUGGGCCUGUUCCAAGUGUUAGAAGUGCAAUUUGCCAACAAUUGAGAAAUCCAAUAACAAGACCACUAAAAAAGGUGGCCAUAUUGUGGAUGUAAUUUCCAACCUGCAACAAUCAAAUAUCAAAAGAAAGAAUUAUUUUGAUUUACCGAUCAAAUGAGGCUUUAAUUCUUUAUGUCUCUCCCUAUAUAGGGAUGCAACAGGCUUGGCUUGAGCUCGGCUUGAUUGGGCUCAAGCUUGUGACUUGUGAGGUAAUGAGCCAAUCUAGAGUUUAGCUACUAAGCUUGAUAUAUCAAUCAAGCAAGCCCGAACUAAGCCUUAUUAAGCCAAGCCUGGCUUGUUAGCUUGUUUGGAGUUAAAAAUAAAUAAAUAUAGAGGUGGAAUUUUUUUUAAUAUGAAUAAAAACUUAAAAAAUGUAAAAAAAAUCUCUCUUUCACUCAAAAUAAAUAAAUCAACAACACAUAAAGGUCUCCCUUUCUCUUUUUCAAUUGGUGACAUGGUUUUUCAUGCGGGUCAACACUUUCAGACGAUGGCCGGGUUAAGCGGAACUGGUUGAAUCCGUUUAACCAUUUAACCCUAUUCCUGGUUUUUCCAGCAGCCUCUUCCCCUUCCAGGCAACUCCGGUAAGUAGUAUAUAAACUAAAUAUCCUCUGCCAUUAGGCAGUGGAUGAGCUAAAUAUGUUUUAUGUUGUUUGUUAUGUUGCUAUCCCUAGAGGUCUCUACCUACUACUGAGUAGUGAGUAGUGUGUGACUGGGCAAGGCCUACUUCAUUUCUAAAUUUCUAAUGAAACUUUCGUUUCACAAAAAAAAUUAUGUAAGAUCAUGAUGCAGUCCUAAAUAGUAAGGCAGACCAUAAUUAGCUUGACCCGGGUCAAGCCAAUCCUUAUUCUAAUUAAAUGGAAUUGACUCACACCAUUGGAUUGCCCAUUUACCAAUGGUGUGAGUAUAAAAGGAAUGGGACCUAGGGAAGGAGAGGAUUAUUAUCGUAUUAAUGAAUUGAGGUAUUAUUCUCUACUCUUGUCUUACUCUCUUUUAUUCCACUUUCACUAUUGCUUUUCUUUUCCAUUGUUGUUCUCAAGGUUUUUUAGGCGACCAUGCGGUCAUGCGAUGGCCAUGACCGCAUGGCCGCCUAGGCGCUUCAGGCGACGCCUAGGCGGUCGCCUGAAAAUAGGGUAAAUUUUGCAAAUUUACCCUGAACUUAUAUACAUUUGCUAAAAAAUAUGAGUAAAUUCAGAAACAUUUAAAAAAAUAUAUACAUAAAUUUUAAAACCUGAAAUUACUAAUACAAAGUAAUAGACCUAUUAAUCUAAAAUUUAAAAUGUAAAUACAUAGAUUAUAUGACUUCUAUGAAUUUAGGGUUAAAAAGGUGCAAGAAACAAGAAAGAAAAGAGGUUAGGGUUUUUUAAAACCCUCAACCUCUUAUUUAAAUGGGUGGUUGGGCCUUAUAUUUAAAUUUAAAAAAAAAUUAAAAAAAAUAAUAAUAAAACAGACCUAUUGGGUUAGGCGGGUCCGGGUCAGAUCCGACCCGGACCCGCCUAACCCGCUCCAGCGCAUGAAGGCAAACGCCUACAUGCGCUGGAGCGCAUGGUCGCAUAUGCGACGCCUAGGCGUCGCAUGAACAAGCUUGGGCUGGAGCAUAACAUAUUUAUCCAAAAGUGCAUUUCAAAAUUAUUAGUUAAUCCCUCAAUUGUAUUUAGGUAUAUAGAUUAAAUUACUUUAGAAUCUUCUGUAAUAGAAUUCUGUUUACCAAGGUCCUUUGCAUCGUGAGUUGAUAACUUGGUAUAGAAGAAAGCAAUUUCCAUUUGCCACCAAAUCCACUCCACUUCAUAAAAAUCGUUAAUGUAUUUAACUAUUUACUACUAACCAAACAACAAAACUAAAAUCAAAUUAACAUAUUCCAUUGUCAGAUUACAUUGAUAUCAUUGAAAUGGUUGUUGUUAAAAAAUUACUAGAUAUCAAACACUUUAACUCUGUAUUAAUUAUUAAGUAUUAACUACAUAAUGGUACAAUUAACAAAACAAUGUUUUAUUUUAAAAAUCUUAACAAAUAUAAUCUCCUCGUCUCCUGAAUAUGCAAAGUGCGGUACUAACCUCUAAACUUUUCACAAAGAUCGACUGAAAGAUAUAGUGAAUUCUUGCCCCACCAGAAAGUUCAGAUGUUGACAUUUCUUCAUUUUUACCCUCCACCAUAGAAGAGAAUGCUAUAAAGAACACGAAAAUUGCAGAAUUCUUAAUAAAAUUAUUAUGUUAAAAGACCCUAAAGCCCUAAACAUUCAUUUGAGUGCCUCAAAAAAAAAGCUAGCAAUAAAAAAUAUUGAAUAUUAUUAUAGGAAAAUGUUCAGGUGCGUCGUACUUCAAUGCGCCGCCGUGCGCCAUCAAAUCCUGUCCAUUUAUUUAAUCCAAUGGCUAAAAUAAUAUACUGCACAAGACAACCCUGACGCAAAAUACGACGCAAAAUAAUGUACAACAAAAGACACUAACUCAUGUACGACGAAAAAUCGAUCUAAUGGACAGGAUUAAUUUGGCGCAUUGAAGUACGGCGCACAUGAAGCUUACCCUAUUAUUAUAAUAGGAAAUUAAUUACCUUCACAAAAUUUUGUAAGGAUAUUCAAAAGAAGAGCACCUUGGCCUGCCUAUGUCAAAAAGAAAGAGAGUAUGAGUUUUUUUUUAUGAAGUUGAAAUUUCAUUAGAAAUGAAGUGGGCCUUGCCCAGUUUUACAAUAUAAACAAAACACAUAAAAUAAAGCCCCUUAACAGAUAUGCAAUACUCAGAGGUAGGCACUGUCCUCUAGGGGUAGGAUAGAAUAAUAAAAUAUCAACCAGAAACAGCCUACUAACAGAGCCAUUGCUUAAUGGCAUUUGAUUCAUUUAAGCCCAAGUCAGGAGGCUUAUCCUUGAUCUCAAAAUAGAGUUUGCCAAGGUUCGGGAUGCGUCUCUGCGCGAUGCGCCACCACCUGGAGCAUUUGAGCUUUUGCGCCAGUGGCAUUUUCGUAAAUAUAUAAAAAUAAGGGAAAUUUAUAUAUUUUUUAUAUAUCAAUCCUAAAAUAUAGGCAUGCCAAUAAAAUAAUCAAUUAAAUUUUUUAGUUAAAAAUAUAUUGGAUAGAAAAAUUAUUAUAAUACAUAUAUUUAUUAAUUAUUAUAACACCCUGUAAUUCAUUGUAACACUAUAAUCUGGAACGCAAAAUAUUGUCUGUUAAAAAAAAAUUAAAACAGACCCGGAUCUUCGGCUAAGGGAGAUGCGCCUGGUGCAUCUCUCUAUCAGGUCACAUCCGCACGCAUCCUGAACCUUGGAGUUUGCAAAUUGCAAUCCUUUAUAACCUCAACCACUGCUACAUCCUUAAUUCUAAAGUUUCAAGCUCUCCAUCUUCUAUUCCUUUCAUGCCACUGGUGCAUUGUAAUUCACCCAAGUAGUGUCCAUAGUAACCUCCAGCAGUUUGAGCCUAACCUUAGGGAUUGGAUGCAAUCUAUCACAUCCCCCAAUCCGACAUCACCACCCUACGGUAUCUGCAAAUUCACAUUUUUCCAUACAAUAUGGUUUGUGGAUUCUGAGCAAGUUAGGAGUAUGAGUCUAGAAAAAGGGCAGUUAAAGAAAAUAUGUCCUAUUGUUUCAGGCCCCUGGUUACAUUUACAUGAGAUAUGGAGAUUAGGGACAGGGGACUCCCCACCCUCUAAGGGUGGUAAAGGAUGGCAGAAACCCUCAAAAGGAAGAUUGAGAAUUUGGUGGGUUUUCUAGACCACCUUCAGCUGUGCUUCUAAAUAGAUGGAAGCACCGAAUCCAUCUAGACCAAAUGUAAUUUACUGCAAUAGAAUUUCUAACACAUAAUCCCGCACUCCGUGGAAUGCAUCUAUUAAGCUAUUGUCAAAGGGCAAAGGGGGAUGGAAGCACAUAAAAAUAUUAUACUGUUUCGUAUCAGAUCUAGAUAUCGACAUAUAUCAAGAAACACUAUUGCAUUAAAGAUUAAUUUAAAAUCAAUUUUAACGUUUCCGAACCGUCAAUUGGAGAUUGUUGCAUUGGAGAAUGAUUUAAAACCAGAUCCAGUGGAAUUCUCUGGACUAUCAAACAAGAUAUCAAAUUAGAGGACCUAAUUGAAGUUACGCAAUUGUUCACCGGGAAAAAACUUUAACUUAACCUUAUUUUAUGAGUUUAGCAAAUCAAUGGCUUGUGCAUACACUUCAAUGCAAAUAACAUAAAUUGUAUAAACGCACAUGUUGUUCAACGAACAAACCUUGGAUUCGGUUAUUUCACCAUAUGCAGCAUGCUCUUUUGCAACUGUCACCAAUUGCCCACUUAUACGAGCCUUGAGUCCUGGAAGAACAGCCUUGAUAUGCUGAACUAAAAUCUGAAAAGAGAAAGAUAAAUUGAGUAUUGACUAAGAUAGAAAUUACAAAAUAGUCAAAAUACAAACAAUGGUGUGAGAAGAACCUACAUAACAAAAACAAUAACCCUUUGCAUGAAAGACAGAGAUAAAAGCAGCUCAAAGACAAUAUUUUUGUGAUUUUGUCAAUGGGUAUUCAAUAUUGUAUCUAAUUUCGUACAAAUGACUCGCCUGUGUACACUUGUUUAUCAUGUUUUCAGAAGAAAAAAACUAGCAUAAGUAAUCAUUCCACAACAUGUGAUAUGUCGCCAUAUUAUGCAUUCAGUUAUGUUUUUUUCAUAAAAAUGAAGGAUCUUUUUUUUUAAUAGAGAAAAACUGGAAAAAAAAUAAAAUAAGACUGGCAUAUAUAGUGUUUCAAUGAGCCUAUCGAUAUAAAUAAUGUUUAAAUGAAGGAAAUGAAAUGAUUCCAUGAGCAUAUAUAGUUUUUGAGGAUUGGAUGUAUUUAAAGAAAAUUGGAAAUCCCACAUAAGUUGGGAGAUUUUGUGCAAAAACAAAUAAGAUUAAAAAAAUAUUACUUAAGAAAUGGUCUGGAAAUAAAUUAAAUAUCAACAAGGCUUUUGAAAUAAGCAGACUUUUGGAAAUCUUGGGGCCAUGUUGAGACUUUUUGCAUUGUUGCAUGCAAGACUGUUUUUUUACUUUUGUGCACCCAAACCCUAUGCGGUGAGAGUGAAUACAUGGUUACAUUACUACAUAUGAUUAUUUUAUGCACAAUAUUUGGGGGGGGGGGGUGUUAUUUCUUUAUUUAUAGGUCAUACCAUGAUGUUGAUGGUUAAUAGUAGAAAUAGUGUAUUAGAAAAAAGGGAUUAUUUUAGAGGAAGAUAUUUCAAAAUAAACAUAAAAGAGAGAGGAAGAGAAGACAGUAUUGACAGGGCAGGUGUCGUCUUGGGAUGAUGUUGAAGACCAGGGAGUUGGAGAUACUCAACUAACUCAAGUGCUACUUUGUUAGAGAUAUUCGCUAGAUUAUGAAAAAAAAUUGCCAGUUCAAUGACUCACAAAUGAGUGCAACAAACAAAUUUUUUUUGAUGAAUUAAAACUUUCAUUUCUGAAAAAUAAGUUUGGGCAAUGGGCCAAUGGCGCAGUGUCCGAGGUUACACAUGUAGGGAAAUGCAAAUACAAAAGUAUAGAGACAUUGUCACUCUUACACAACUGUGACCAAUUGACCAUGACUAACUAGCCAAGGAUUGAUGCCUCAAGAGGUCUGACUACCAAAAACAUAUGAUCUGAAUUUCAAUCUGUGGCUCCAUGUACAAUGCUCACGUCCCUAAAGAUUUCUUUGCUGACAAUUUAUGGAGGCCUUAGGGUGUGUUGUUUUAAUCUCCUAUUCUUUUCACACCAUAGAUGCCAGGAAAGGGAUGCUAGCAAUAGCUGCUCAUGUAUGCCCCAACAACUGGCUUUGUGUGUAAAUUUUUGGAGUGUUUCCAUUACGUCUUCUAUUCUAAUAUCUAUUGUGGGUGUGGUAAGACUCUGACCCCUCAUUGUCCAAAUAGCGUUGUUAAGCCAACUGGUGGAUUUUAGCAGUAGGUCUCUACUCUCUACUGUAUUGACAGUUAAAGAAGAGAUGUUAUAACUUGUAAUGUCUCUUCCUCCUGCCCACAUAGGGAGCAUAUUGUUUGAAGGUUGAUGCCCCAUCUUUGUAGUCUAGUAAGGGUGUUGAGGCUCUUGACCUUUAUUCUCCACAGAACACAUGAAGAAUUUGAAGGGGCAUUUUAAACCAGAUUUCGGAGUUUAUCUCUUGGAUGAUGCAUUUGGGUUUAAGUGUCUUUGAAUGUUUGGCAGUUGCAAUUUCAAAGAUCCUAUAGUUGCUCAUGCUCAUAUAGUUAAUAUAUUUCCCUAUAGCUUCUUUGUUGGCUAAAAUAGUUUUCCACAUAUGGGAGUCCAGUGUGGGUCUCUUUUUAUUUCCCCUAUGCUUCUACCCUUAAUGUUCCUAAUUUUAACCCAAUCUGCUAAGAUGGAGGGGUUUGGAGUUGGACUCCAUAACUUCUCAGCUCUUUUGACCAAUGUUAUGACAUUGGUGGCAAAGAAAUCCCUGACCUCGAUCCCUCCUUCUUUGAGAGUGCUAUUUUUUCCCAACUACUACAUAUCCUACCAUCCCAGAUGAAGUUGUAGGCUAAACUUUGUAUCUUGUUUAUGAUUGUACAAGGCAGUGUGGUUCCAUUGGCCUAAUAUUUUGGAGCUUCCCUAAUAUCACCCAAGUGACUAACUGUGUUCCAUCAGCAUAAGAUAAAACACUUUCUUUUCUAUUUGGCUAGCAUUUUUUCAAUCGGAUCCACGAAUUUCCAACAAAUUGCUUGUGUCUUCUUCCUGUCUAUUAUAGGGAGACCUAUGUAGCUAAUUGAUCGGAAAGUUGAGGAUAUUAUGGAGAGAGUGGUCAUUUGCACAUAUCUUGGAGUAUUAAUCUUAAGUCCUGAGAACAUGAAGAAUGUUUCUAGGAUCCAUUUGAUAGUCCCUAGGGAUUUGUGGUUUACCUUAGAGAAAAUUAGAACAUCGCCUGCAUACAUGAGAUGAGAGAUGGAGAUAACCCCAUUCACCAUAUAUGUAUCCAUCCUCUUAUCCUUAAUUUCUUUUUUCUAUUAGCCUUCUAAGGUUGUCCAUUACCAGGUCAAAUAGGAUCAGGGACAGUGGGUCACCCUGUUUGGUGCCUCUGUGGCUUAUGAGAGGAGGGAGGGUUCUUCUACUAGCACUGAGAAAGAGCAGUGGAUAUAUAGUUGUAAAUCAUCUUACAUAGUGGCGGGCUAAACCCCAUAGCUUCAAGGGUGGAGAUGAUAACUUGCCACUUCACAGUAUCAAAUGCCUUUUUGAGAUCAAUACUUAGACAACAUCUUCUUGGUGUCCUGAUCCUCCCAAAACCAUGGACCAUCUCAUAAGCCAGGAGGAUGUUAUCCGAGAUGUUUCUUCCAACUAUGAAUGUUGUUUGGCGGAGGGAUAUUAACUCAGUAGAUACCUUAGAUAUCCUAUCUGCCAAGAUCUUGGUGAGUAGUUUUAUAUAUAAGAUUUGUGCAAGAAAUGGGUCUAAAGUCAGAUAACUUUGUAGUUGUAGGUUUCUUGGGAAUAAGUGUAAUAACUAAUAAAGGUAUGGUUAAUCGAUUUCAAUAGAGGAUUACCAUCAAAGAACUACUUGACACAUCACACAUUGACACAUGUCAAAAUUGUAUGCUUCAGUUAUGGCCAGAGUGCUUUGAAGAAACCCACUGUGAAUCCAUCUGGCCCUGGGGAUUUUCCAGCUUAAAAUGAAAACAUAGUGGAUUGUAUCUCCUCUCCUUAGGGUUGUUGGGUCAACCAUUUAUUCAUGUCAUGUGAGACAAUCCUUGGGAAAGUUAUAGGAGAUGGGACAUCUGGGAAGGGAGAGUUUUUGAAGAUCUCCUUAAAGUGAUUCAUAUUUCUUUUUUCCAAAUGAGUUCUAGUGAUAACUACUCUACCCUCUCCAUUUAUCAAUUUCAAUGUCGAGUUCAUAGCCUUUCUGAUCCUAGUGGCUAGGCUAAAGAACUUGGUAUUUGAGUCACCUAAUCUGAGCCAAUUGACUUUGCAUCUUUGCUUGCAGUUUGCCUCUUCUUGAGCUUAUUGAUUAACUCCUUCUUCUUCUUUUUAACCUCCUCUUGAACAACAGGAGUUAUUGGGUUAGAGUUUAGUUGCUUCAUUAGGGAAUCUAGGUCCUCCCUAGUGGUUGCUAUCUGUUUUGCAUCACUCCUCUGAGUCGCAGUCCAUUCCUUAGUGAGUGGCUUAACUUCUUUUAAUUUUGUAUAAGACAAUACAGACCAUUACCACAUAUUGGCUUAGCUAGCCCCUUUCUUGCUAGGGUUAGAAAUUCCUGCUCCUAUUUGGUUAGAAAUUGCAAUUUCUGUCUGUUGUUGUUUACUAUUUAUAUGUGUCAGUAAGGUAGGUCUGACAGGAAUUUGCUUAAACCGGCACGGAAGAGGGAGGUUAUAUACGAGUGAUACGACUGUCUAUGUAUAUUAGUACAUAUGUGAGCCGUGAACACAUGAAAACCUUGUUUAUUUUUUAAAAUCUUGGUUGCAACAUCAAGGAAUGUGGUAGUGGUACUAUAAACAAAUGUAGUUGUCAGGGUUGUCUGUCUAUAAUUCUAAAUGUGCCCAACUCUACAUAUACAGCACUAUUGUAAAUUUUUAAGAAUUGAGGACAACAUUUAGAUUAUGCAAAAGAGUUAGAAAAUGUCUAAUUUAAACUAGUAUUACAGUCAUCUGACCUGAUUUAAUUUCAUGGCUAAUUGAGGAACACCGCAACGAUCAGAAAGACCACGAUAAACCUAUCGUAAAUAUGAAAUACUUAUCAAAAAUUCAAAAUUAUGCUAAGUCUUUUUUGCAUUGAAAUAAUAAAUCAAAUCUGAUAAACUCAUAUAUUUUACUAGACGUUCACGGAAGAAGCUCUCCUCAUGGACAAGUGCAUCUUUAAUGCUGCGAUUAAAUGUUAUAUCCUGUUUUCAUAGAAAUAAAUAUUGAAAUUAACAAAGAAAAAAAACGAUAAUGCAAUUAUUUAAUACAUCCAUCAGAAACUAUGCCAGACUGACAUGAUGUAUGAACUGUGAAGCCUAUGAUCAACAAAAAUAAUGAACCAGCUUGCAUGGAGAUACAAUUAUUUAGCCACUUGAGUUGGAUAUGAGUAAUUAAGUAUAUAACUUAUAACUUAUAAGUGCACCUAGAAUUUUUUGCAAAAAAAAGUACACCCAUGAUGCAAUCAUACAAAUAUAGCAGUAUAACACUAUAACUGCAGAUAUGUAAUAAACUUAAAAAAUAAAAAAAGCUGCUCGAGCAUUGAUUUCUCGGAAAACAGAACUAAUCUCAACAAUCAAUUAAACCAAUUGAUUGGUGUCCUCAUAUAUGAAUAGUAUUAUCUAAGAACAAAGUCGUAAACAAUUUAUAAACUAUGAUAAAAAAAAUUACCUCCUGACUGCGAUUGACGAUUCCAACAUAACCCAGUCUAAGAGGAAUUACAUUUCCUAGUAGAAAUUGGCGAGCAUCAGUGCCUCUGUCCAUGAUAUCCAACUAAAACAAUAGGAAAGUAGUACAAAAAAAACUAAUUUAGCAUCAUCACAUGUUAGUAGUGCAGCUAGACAUUAACUCAAAAAAUAUAGUCAACAGAAACACCUUUGUAAUGACACCAAUUGUUCGAGAGCCUAAUUGGAAGAACAAAAUAGAAAUUGUCAGAAUAUUUGUAAGCAUCUCACAUGUUUGGUUAAAUUAUAGAUUUUCAUCCACAGAUGAACUUUUCCAUAAAUCUUACCAUCAGGAUCAGCAACCCUGGCCAUCUGUAGUGCAUCAGAAUUUGCUAAAUCUGAAUUUGCUGGACUCACAGCUAAAAUAAUACAGGUUUCAUGUUUUAUGUAUUCUAGAAUGAUUGUUCUAAUUUUUGCCUCAAUGUCACUUGGUUGGUCACCAACUGGAACCCUUGUUAUUCCAGGCAAAUCUACAAGUGUGAUAUUGAGAACGUUUGGUGAAAAAAUCUUUAGUCGAAUCUGUUUUUUAGAAACUCCUUUGUUUUCUCCUGCUUCUCUGUCAGUUUCAGCCUGCAUGUUAUAGGAAAAUAAGCUGUGAGUUUUUAAAAAUGAAUAAUUUGACACCUAACUGUUUCCUUCCCAACUCCCAAAACACAGGCAAUUCAAGUGUUCAAAAUAUCAUUCUAAGAUGAAAGAUGAUUCUGACAUUAACGCUUGUUAUCAAGUAUCGACAUACAUUGAUACCCAAUAAAAGUAAAAGAACUGAUUGAGUUAAAGAAUGUAGUUUUUUUCACUAUUCUUCAAAGAAAUUUGAGGGCAGAAAAGAAAACGAUAAGAAAAACGGUAUUAUUGUUGUAAUUAUGAUUUCUUUUAUAAAGGUUUAAGGUUGUGAUUAUGAUAUUGUCACGUAUGAUUUGAUCUAUUAUUACCUGAUCUAAAUAAUAUAAUCAAGAAAUUAAAAUAGUUUUGUAUUAUUCAAAGGAUAACAUUGCAUGCAUAUAUGUGUGUGUUGCUAUGUUUACCUAUUUAUCAUUGACUAGCAUAGGAAAACCAGUGCUAAGAAGACAAAAAAAAAAUCAACUGAAGCAUAAGCAAUGUUCAAGAUCCUUCAAACAAUUUUGAUAUGAAUAUUGAGCACACAAAAGUUCAAUAUAUUUAAUGGUAUGGAGUCAAGUGUAGAUUUGAAACUUUAUUUUUAAAAUCCCUUCCAAACCUAUUAUAAUAAUAUAAUCUAUACAUAAUGGAAAAUUCAUAUUUUUUAUCCCCAUUCCAAAUCAUCAAUUUUGCAGAACUGAUUGCAAAAAAUAUCUUAUAAACAGUAAACAACCAAACAACAUGCACUUAAAAAACUAAAAGGUAAAACAAAAUGGCAUAAUUUGGAGAAACAAAAAUGCACGAUUUUUUUAAGAUUUCCAAAUGGAAUGAUGCUUGCAAGAAAAAGUGUAGAAAUGUCGUCAUUCAAAUCACAGAAUACAGUAUACAAUUACCAGACUCCAGAGUACCAAACAUCAAUUUAACUAUUUAAGCAUGUAAAUAUCAGAAGCCAUUUAUCACACAGUAAAUUAUUAUAAAUUUGCCACAUCCAAUUAUUAACUAUUUAAGCCUCAAAUACCAAAAUUCAUCUAAAAACACACUUUCUCAAGAAGAAAAAGAUCGCAAAAAUCAUAACACACUUGACUGACCUGAAUCUCACUCCGAAUGGCAUGAAAAUCGAAAAACUUUUUCCCAGGAAAAUGCAAGAAUUCGCCCCAUUCAUCUCCACCAUCCCCACUCCUCACUGGUGUAUGCACUAACUGUAAUACCAGUGGUCGUCUGGUACAAAUAUCCCGACCUCUGGGCAAGAAAUCCCUCCCUACAAGCGCCUCCAAUACACUCGACUUCCCACUGCUCUGACUCCCCACAACCGCCACCUGCGGCAAGUCUAUCGUCGAAGAGCUUCCCAACUGAGAGAAUAUAUCCUGUAACUUAUUCACAAUCGGUAUCACCGUGCGUCCGAUCGGACUCGCCGCCGACACCGACGCUUCCUCUGCCAUCUCUGAUUCCGAAACCCUAGAUACUGCAGAUAAGACCUCUUCGAUCUAUGUUAAUUAGAAUUUAGAACUGUCCAAAUCUUCCGAGACCACUGGAGAUGCCGGAGUUCACGAGAGCCGGAAAAUCGGAGAAAGGGUGGGGAAAAUCGUCUUGAAAAAAUAUUGGGGGUUUAUUUGGGAGGGAAGAAAGUAAUUAUCAAAAGUAAAUGAGGGUAUUUUAGAAAUAAAAAUUUAUACACUUUAUGAAGGUUACUUCCUCAACCACCCGAAAAGUAUAUUUUUACUUAUUUACAUUCGGAUGACAUAUCAGAAACACUUUAUAAUAUAUCAUUCGGUUAUAUCACGGUGAAAAUUAUUACGUACACGACUAGAAUAGAAGUGAUGAGAAUGGAUCUCGAUCAGUGUUAGACGACGCUUCGAACAAGCAUUGGGCCAGAAACUCCACGGAAAUCAGCUCGCACUCUUCAGUUGCUCAGGCUCUGUUGAAAUUUCUCUCUCGAAUACAACUUGCACAAAUGAAUGGGAGUGAGAGUAACCCUCUAUUUAUAAGGCAUCUUAUGAAGGUAAUCUGAUAAUUAGAAUCAUAAUCGUUUAACUGCUCAGACCUGACUUUAGGUCGACUUUCUGGGGUCGACUUUUCCUGUUUGACUUCUUGCGGUCGGCUUCUGAAAAAGUCAACCUAGGCAAAGUCGACCUGAAAAAAUCCACUUGAAACCUCCCAUAACCUAUACAGGUGUUUUAAUCCAUUCUGAGCUAUUCGAAUCUCUGAUUGCUGCAUGGUGUCGUGACAAUGUUUGGGAUACUGUAUUAACCAAAAAUCUUUAACAACUUUAAUAGCUAUUGUGACCAGUUUAAUUAAUUUUCAUGUAAGUCAUUACAGUGACCAUUAAAGAUUUAUGUGUAAAUAGAUACAUCGCCUGAAGAGUAGAUAUUUGUAAAGAAACAUUGACCGUUGAUUUUUUUUUCAAGUUACGAUAGAGAAUUCUGACUGUUGUUUUUUUGAUGAGAGUGAAACCUGAUCAGUAGACAAAAUUAUUGUAAAACUUAGUAAUGAAUAUCAGAGAACGAUUCUAAUGAGAACCGGGUAUGUGAGAACUUUGUGAGAAUCAGAUCACGACCGUUGAAAUGUCUACAUGGGGAUCUUCACCCAUAAAUGAUUUAAAUGACAAACUAUAUAAAUCGUCAUUAGAUUUAGAUGUAAAGGUCAAGAUGCAAAGUUCUCAUAUAGUUCUCGUUUUUAUGAUUCUCACUAGAAGCUGGCCCGUGAAUAUCAAUAGACAACCCAUUAAGUGUUAACAAACAUGCAAACAUCGUUAGGUCUUCUAAGGUAAUUUUUAAAAAUGUUAUUAAAAACAUUUUAACAAAUAUUAAACGUUGAUUGUUUUUUUUCAAAUCACAAAAGAGAAUUUCGACCGUUGAUUAGUUUUAUUUGAUUUCUUUCAUUGUCUCAAUCAAGAUCAUGAGAAUUAUAAAGCCCAAUAGGCCCAUUGAAUCUCAAUAGACGACCCAUUAAGAGUGCCAUGAGGUAACAAACUAAGAAACACGCAAACAUCAGAAAUGUAACGAUAAAUUAAAAAGGCAUUAAACUUUUAAACAUAACCAAUCGACGGAUGUGAAUUCCGUUCCGGUUAGACCACCGCCGGGAUGUCCUUGAGCCAAGCGUCGAGCGGCUUGCCGAUCAUGUAAACAAUGAAACCAAUUUUCCUGAGCUUCUCAGCGUCAACCACAUUCCGGCCAUCGAACACAAACGCCGGUUUCUGCAUAUUAUUGUAGAUCUUCUGAAAGUCUAAUUUCUUAAACUCAUCCCACUCUGUGAGAAUGCAAACGCCAUGAGCGUCCUUGGUCGCCUCAUACACAUCCCAGCAGACGCGCACUUGUUUGACGGCGGUUGGGCUCAUCGGUUGGAGGUGGAGCGGAUGGUCCCAAUCGAAUUUGUUCAUCGCGAGGUCUCUUUGGAUUUGAUCCUCGGUGACCUGUGGAUCAUAGAUGUUGAUCUGAGCUCUAUCUCCGAUGAGACCCUUGCAGACAUCGAUUGCCGGAGUUUCACGGGUGUCACCUGUGUCCUUUUUGAAUGCAAACCCAAGCACGGCUAUCUUCUUCCCGGAUACAGUGUUGAACAUGGACGAAACUAUUCUGUUAACAAAUCGACUCUUUUGGUAGUCAUUGAUCUUGAUGACUUGUUUCCAGUAAUCCGAUACUUCGGUAAGCCCAUUGCAUUCGCAGAUGUAAAUCAGAUUGAGUAUAUCUUUCUGGAAACAAGACCCUCCAAAUCCAACACUUGCAUUUAAAAACUUAGAACCGAUUCGAGAAUCCUUGCCGACGGCAUACGCUACCUCACUGAUGUUGGCACCGGUAGCUUCGCAUAAAGCUGACAUAGCAUUCACAGAUGAGAUUCUCUGAGCUAGGAAGGCAUUAGCAGCAAGCUUCGAAAGCUCAGCUGACCAUAAAUUGGUGGUUAUGAUUCUGUCCUCAGGGACCCAGUUAGCAUAAACAGAUUUCAGAGUCUCCACGGCUUUCCUCCCUUCUACAGUUUCCCUUCCUCCGAUGAGCACCCGGUCGGGAGAGAAAAGAUCCGCAAUCGCAGUACCUUCGGCGAGGAAUUCUGGGUUUGAUAGGAUCUGGAAGUUUACACCCUUGCUGUUGUGUGUGAGGAUUUUCUCAAUUGCCUCGGCAGUCUUCACAGGUACUGUUGAUUUCUCCACCACGAUCUUAUCGGAUUUCGAAACAUCUGC
rnacentral:lncRNA from 1 species